UUAAUUUUAUUUUAUUUGAUUAUCUGUCCUUCACAAAUUUUAAUUUAUUUAAUUUUAGUCAAUUAAAAACUUUUUAAUUUUAUAUAAUUUAUAUAUUUAUAAAUAUAUAAAAAUAAGUAAUUAAUUUAAAUUUUAUUUAUACCGAAAGAAUUAUCGAAGAGCUUAAAUUUUAUAAAUUAAAAAUUUAGAUACUAAAAAUAAAAUUUAAAAUAUUAAAUAAUCGAAUUAAAGUAAUUUAUAGUUUAUAUAAAUUUUAUACUUGUUUUUU
rnacentral:lncRNA from 1 species